rnacentral:tRNA from 1 species
UGCGGACUGGUGCAAUUGGCAGCACAUCCGGCCCUGAACCGGAAGGUUGGAAGUUCGAGUCUUCCGUCCGCAG